GACGAACGCUGGCGGCGUGCUUAACACAUGCAAGUCGAACGAAGAGCGAUGGAAGCUUGCUUCUAUCAAUCUUAGUGGCGAACGGGUGAGUAACGCGUAAUCAACCUGCCCUUCAGAGGGGGACAACAGUUGGAAACGACUGCUAAUACCGCAUACGAUCUAACCUCGGCAUCGAGGAUAGAUGAAAGGUGGCCUCUACAUGUAAGCUAUCACUGAAGGAGGGGAUUGCGUCUGAUUAGCUAGUUGGAGGGGUAACGGCCCACCAAGGCGAUGAUCAGUAGCUGGUCUGAGAGGAUGAACGGCCACAUUGGGACUGAGACACGGCCCAGACUCCUACGGGAGGCAGCAGUGGGGAAUCUUCCGCAAUGGACGAAAGUCUGACGGAGCAACGCCGCGUGAGUGAUGACGGCCUUCGGGUUGUAAAGCUCUGUUAAUCGGGACGAAAGGCCUUCUUGCGAAUAGUGAGAAGGAUUGACGGUACCGGAAUAGAAAGCCACGGCUAACUACGUG
rnacentral:rRNA from 1 species